AAGAUUUUAAGUUAAUAAAACUAUUAAUAUUCAAAAUUAAAAUUAUAUAUCAUUUAUAUAAAUCUUA
rnacentral:tRNA from 1 species